rnacentral:rRNA from 1 species
UACGUAGGGACCAAGCGUUGUUCGGAUUUACUGGGCGUAAAGGGCGCGUAGGCGGCGUGGUAAGUCACUUGUGAAAUCUCCGAGCUUAACUCGGAACGGUCAAGUGAUACUGCUGUGCUAGAGUGCAGAAGGGGCAAUCGGAAUUCUUGGUGUAGCGGUGAAAUGCGUAGAUAUCAAGAGGAACACCUGAGGUGAAGACGGGUUGCUGGGCUGACACUGACGCUGAGGCGCGAAAGCUAGGGGUAGCAAACGGG